CCCAGCACUACAUGUAUACCCUCUACUGGUGCUAAUUGGAAACUACAACUAAAUCUUUCCAUGUAUUCACACACAAAAUAAUUAAAACGGUGUUCUUCGGAUGUAAAAUAAUAUUACAGAAAGUUUUCAUUAGUUACUGGUACAUACAUUUUCUUCUGGUGUAAAUGUUUAACUUUAGCAACAACUCCAAGGUAGGCAGGUAAAGCUUAUUUGCACAGAGCCCU